rnacentral:rRNA from 1 species
GAUGAACGCUAGCGGCAGGCCUAAUACAUGCAAGUCGAGGGGUAUGGGUUGCUUGCAACCCAGAGACCGGCGCACGGGUGCGUAACGCGUAUGCAAUCUACCUUAAUCAGGGGGAUAGCCCGGAGAAAUCCGGAUUAACACCGCAUAACAUUGAGUUGUGGCAUCACAGUUCAAUCAAAUAUUUAUAGGAUUAAGAUGAGCAUGCGUGACAUUAGUUAGUUGGUGAGGUAACGGCUCACCAAGACCACGAUGUCUAGGGGAUCUGAGAGGAUGACCCCCCACACUGGUACUGAGACACGGACCAGACUACUACGGGAGGCAGCAGUAAGGAAUAUUGGGCAAUGGGCGCAAGCCUGAACCAGCCAUGCCGCGUGCAGGAAGACGGCCCUAUGGGUUGUAAACUGCUUUUGUACCGGAAUAAACCUUCUCUUGCGAGAGAAGCUGAACGUACGGUAAGAAUAAGGAUCGGCUAACUCCGUG